AACACUGGCGCAAAUGGGAAGCCGUAAGCUGUAAAGUUAAAGAAAAGUCGACUUCCGUUGUCAUUUGCUGGUCCGAGUGCAAAUGAGGAUUUGUCGAAGCCAGGCUCACCUCACUGAUGCUUUCUCCCGCAGUCUGCUCUUGUCUUGCCGUUUGGCACAAAACAAGAAAGAAAAAAAGCCCCUAAGG